CAGUAGCCGCGGUAAUACGAAGGGGGCUAGCGUUGUUCGGAAUUACUGGGCGUAAAGCGCACGUAGGCGGAUAUUUAAGUCAGGGGUGAAAUCCCGCAGCUCAACUGCGGAACUGCCUUUGAUACUGGGUAUCUUGAGUAUGGAAGAGGUUAGUGGAAUUGCGAGUGUAGAGGUGAAAUUCGUAGAUAUUCGCAGGAACACCAGUGGCGAAGGCGGCUGACUGGUCCAUAACUGACGCUGAGGUGCGAAAGCGUGGGGAGCAAACAGGAUUAGAUACCCCCGUAGUCCCUGUCUCUUAUAC
rnacentral:rRNA from 1 species